GAUAGUCCACAAUUAUUUUAUUUUAUUGUUAUUAAGAGUAUGACUUUUUGGAUAAUGUAAUUUUGUGGUCGUUUUUAUUUGUUAAGAACAUUAUUUAGUGUUUUUAGUGUGUUAUAUAGUAGUAGGUGAUAGGUUAACAUAUUUUGUGUUUUUUUUUCCAGUAAUGUGUUGUUGUUUGUAUAGUACUUGUUAGUAGUAAAUUGAGCAUAUAAUGUAAAAGCAUAUUGAACUUCAGUAACUUCCAUUUAGGCUUUGUCGAUUUUAAGAUUAAUGGUUUCAGCGUAAAAAUUGUAUUUUAUUUUUUUCAUAUUUUUGAACAUUAUAACUUUUAAGAUGUUUUUUUUCUCUCCCCAUAUUUUGACCUUGAGCCGUCACCUCUCUGUUUUUCGUAUAUCUUUCUAGUGUGCGGUGCUUCUCACCAUCACCGAAAAAGACUCACCUCAUGUUCUUAUUCUUCUUCACCUUCUUCGUCGGUGAGAUUAUACGAAAUUUGUUGUAGAUCGAAUUUAUGAGUUCCCAGUUGUGUGGUUGUUUCACAACGUUGUAGGUUUUUCCGAUCAAUAUUGGUUGCUCCUCUUCUUCCUUAGAUUUCGGUUGAUGUUAGAACUGCAUCUCCUUGGGUUGGGUCAGAUUUUAGUCGUUUUUGAUGUUGUCUUCCUCGUCGUUGGCUUACCGUCAAUAGUCCUUGUUUGUUUUGGAUUUCAAGAUCUAGUUUUUGGGGAUAUAACUUAUAUGCUCUUUUUCAUAGCUCGAGGACAGCUCCACAGUUUGCUGAUUUUGUUUUGUCUCCCAAUCCCUCUAUGUUUUCUCAUCUCGUUGAAGUUUUCAUCACUGCUCGCAUCUUUUGUAGGUUUCCCUUUCACCAUGCUUACCACUCUAGGUUUGGAUAAUGUUUUCAUUCGUGUGUAUGCUAUGUGAGCUUUGAAGGUUAUUUAUGCUCUCAAGCUUAUUCUCUGAUGUCACGGUGGUUGGUUUCUAUUAUCCCUCCCUCAGGUUGUUUCUCUUCAUCCCAUGUUUCUUUUGGUAUAGGUGUGUGGAGUUAGUCUUUUGGAGCUUUGGUCCCUUCUAUCAGAGCUUUGUGUUUCUUCACUUGCAUGUGCGCCUUGUCUGUUCUUAUUUAGUUUGUGAGGUGUUUCUUACCUUUUUGCUAGUAGUUGUGCUUCUGGUACUUUAGACAUAUAUCUUUCCGCUUCUUGGUGACGUUGGCCUUCCGAUUAUUACUCCCUCUCUGAUCCGCUUUUUUGGUUCUUUACGUUGGUGCUUGAUCACGCUUAUAUUUGUUCGGGAGAUUGCUUUGUUUCAGAUUUUAUCUUUUUAUCUUUUUUUAAUUUUUACUUGUUCUGGCCAAGACACUUCAAUGAGGUAAGUUAGUCUUCGUGUUUGAUCUCCUUUCAGCUUUAGACCUCUAUUGAAUUAGUGUUACUAUGAAAUUUUGUUUUCCGAGUGAUAAUGGAGGUUUUAUAUUUAAAUUUUGUGUUGUAUUCUAGUUUCUUAUUUUUAGUUUGGUUAUUUUAUAACUUUAAUAGUAAAAUAAAUAUAUAAUUUAUAAAAGAAAUAAUAGAAAAUAGUAAAAAUAAUAAAAUGAUGAAAGUUUAUGCUAUUUUUAGUUAGG
rnacentral:lncRNA from 1 species